rnacentral:misc_RNA from 1 species
GAUGAAGAACGUAGCGAAAUGCGAUAAGUAGUGUGAAUUGCAGAAUUCUGUGAAUCAUCGAAUCUUUGAACGCACAUUGCGGCCAUAGGUAUUCCUUUGGCCAUGCCUGUUCGAGCGUCAUUUACACCCUCAAGCCUAGCUUGGUGUUGGGCGUCUGUCCCGCCGUUUUCGCGCGCGGACUCGCCUCAAAGUCAUUGGCGGCGGUCGUGCCGGCCCCCUCGCGCAGCACAUUUGCGCUUCUCGGAGGCCCGGCGGAUCCGCGCUCCAGCAAGACCUUUCACGACUUGACCUCGGAUCAGGUAGGGAUACCCGCUGAACUUAAGCAUAUCAAUAAGCGGAGGA